UCACGCGGCAUCUUGUAAUCAGCGUCCAGUUCGACGCUAAAACCGUAGGCAUAUAUAGAUCUUCAGUUUCCAGCGCUAAUUAAUUUGAUAGUGGUACCACGGAGUCGUAAAGUUCUGAGUCCUUUUCAUUUGACAAGUGAUCGCACUAAAACCAGGAGCAAUGCCGGGUGCCAAAAAGGGAAUUCUAGAGAGAUUAGAUGCUGGGCCAGUGAUUGGUGAUGGGGGCUUUGUCUUUGCUCUCGAGAAGCGUGGUUAUGUCAAGGCAGGACCCUGGACCCCUGAAGCGGCCAUCGAACACCCCGAAGCAGUGAGACAGUUGCACAGAGAGUUUCUGCGGGCUGGGUCUGAUGUUAUGCAAGCAUUCACGUUCUACGCCAGCGAUGAUAAGUUACAGAACAGAGGUUGUGCUGCUAAUGCCACACAUAGUGGUGCAGCAAUCAACCAGGCAGCCUGCAAUCUCUCGCGAGAGGUCGCAAAUGAGGGUGACGCUCUUGUUGCUGGCGGCGUGUCUCAGACUCCAUCCUAUCUGAGUGGGAAAAACAAGGAAGAGUGCCAGAAGGAGUUCCGUAAACAGAUGGACGUGUUCGUGAAAAAUGAAGUUGACUUCAUCAUUUGCGAGUACUUUGAGCAUGUUGAGGAGGCAGAAUGGGCUAUAGCUGUUGCUAAGGAGACCCAGCUUCCAGUCGCUGCAAAUCUCUGCAUUGGUCCGGAUGGAGAUGUGCAUGGAAUAAGCUGUGAGGAAUGCGCCGUUCGCAUGGCUAAUGCUGGUGCUGAUAUUGUGGGUGUGAACUGUCAUUUUGAUCCAUUUGUAUCGCUCAAAACCAUCAAACUGAUGAAGCAGGGAUUGGAAGCAGCCAAAAUCAAGUGUCAUCUGAUGGUUCAACCCCUAGCUUUUCACACUCCAGACUGUGGAAGACAAGGUUUCAUCGACCUUGUAGAGUUCCCCUUUGCUCUGGAGCCACGAAUCCUGACACGCUGGGACAUGCAUCGGUUUGCUCGAGAGGCCUACGAUCUUGGUGUCCGAUACAUCGGCGGUUGCUGUGGCUUCGAACCCUAUCACAUCCGAGCCCUCGCUGAGGAGCUGGCCACUGAGCGUGGGAAAAUGCCAGCAGCAUCGGAGAAACAUGACAUAUGUGCCGGGGGGCUGAAGAUGCAUACAAAACCAUGGGUCCGGGCCAGAGCGAGCAAGGACUACUGGCAGAAUCUUGAACCAGCUUCCGGGCGGCCAUACGCUUCUGCCAUGUCCAAACCCAGUAACUGGGGGGUAUCCCGCGGUCAUGAGCAUCUUGUGCAGAAGCAGAGUGCCACAACUGAGGAAGAGAUUGAUGAAGUAAAGAAGUUUAAACAGUAAUGAGUUAAUUUAAAGGAGGAAAGCGAUUGACGGGCAAGAGAUUAUAUUGCACAGUUAAUCGCUAACUUAUGAAAUAAAGAUGAUGUAGCAGGUUGUAUUCCAUCAUAGAGAAGACCGAGAUACGGAAGCUAUUGUUUCAUAGUAAUUCAUUGUAAUUCAUUGUUAUUUCAUCGUAUUCAUUGUAAGCAAUAGAUUGUUGACGCAUGUAGUUUUCAUUGGUAAUAUUUCCAAGGAAAAUAAAAAUAAAAAACGUUUUUAGGAAUCACUGUUUGAUGAUCUAUUAAAGAUGUGUAAAUUUGUAUGUAUUCAUGUGCAAAUAUUCAGCAAAAAACAAUAAAGGAAUGUUGAUGCAUA
rnacentral:misc_RNA from 1 species